GGCCUCGUAGAUCAGUUGGCUGGAGCGUUGGUUGAACUAAAACCCUCCUCUUGCUGGCGUGGGUUCAAAUCCCAUCAAGGCUG
rnacentral:tRNA from 1 species